AGAGUGAACGCUGGCGGCAGGCCUAACACAUGCAAGUCGAGCGGCAGCACAGUCGUAGCAAUACGAUGGGUGGCGAGCGGCGGACGGGUGAGGAAUGCAUCGGAAUCUACCUUGUUGUGGGGGAUAACGUCGGGAAACUUACGCUAAUACCGCAUGAGACCGUAAGGUGAAAGCGGGGGACCUGUAAGGGCCUCGCGCGACAAGAUGAGCCGAUGCCGGAUUAGCUAGUUGGUGGGGUAAAGGCCCACCAAGGCGACGAUCCGUAGCUGGUCUGAGAGGAUGAUCAGCCACACUGGAACUGAGACACGGUCCAGACUCCUACGGGAGCAGCAGUGGGAAUAUUAGACAAUGGGCGCAAGCCUGAUCCAGCCAUGCCGCGUGUGUGAAGAAGGCCUUCGGUUGUAAAGCUACUUUGUUGGGAAGUAAAGUCCCGGGAUUAAGUACUUCCGUGGAGCUGACGUACCAAAGAAUAAGCACCGCUAACUCGUAGCCAGCACG
rnacentral:rRNA from 1 species